UACGGAGGGUGCAAGCGUUAUCCGGAUUCACUGGGUUUAAAGGGUGCGUAGGCGGGUGUGUAAGUCCGUGGUGAAAUCUCCGAGCUUAACUCGGAAACUGCCAUGGGUACUGCAUGUCUUGAAUGUUGUGGAGGUGAGCGGAAUAUGUCAUGUAGCGGUGAAAUGCUUAGAUAUGACAUAGAACACCAAUUGCGAAGGCAGCUCGCUACACAAUGAUUGACGCUGAGGCACGAAAGCGUGGGGAUCAAACAGG
rnacentral:rRNA from 1 species